rnacentral:rRNA from 1 species
UACGGAGGGUGCAAGCGUUAUCCGGAUUCACUGGGUUUAAAGGGUGCGUAGGUGGGCAGGUAAGUCAGUGGUGAAAUCUCCGAGCUUAACUCGGAAACUGCCGUUGAUACUAUUUGUCUUGAAUACUGUGGAGGUAAGCGGAAUAUGUCAUGUAGCGGUGAAAUGCUUAGAUAUGACAUAGAACACCAAUUGCGAAGGCAGCUUACUACACAGCGAUUGACGCUGAGGCACGAAAGCGUGGGGAUCAAACAGG